GACGAACGCUGGCGGCGUGCUUAACACAUGCAAGUCGAACGGAAAGGCCCUGCUUUUGUGGGGUGCUCGAGUGGCGAACGGGUGAGUAACACGUGAGUAACCUGCCCUUGACUUUGGGAUAACUUCAGGAAACUGGGGCUAAUACCGGAUAGGAGCUCCUGCUGCAUGGUGGGGGUUGGAAAGUUUCGGCGGUUGGGGAUGGACUCGCGGCUUAUCAGCUUGUUGGUGGGGUAGUGGCUUACCAAGGCUUUGACGGGUAACCGGCCUGAGAGGGUGACCGGCCACAUUGGGACUGAGAUACGGCCCAGACUCCUACGGGAGGCAGCAGUGGGGAAUAUUGCACAAUGGGCGGAAGCCUGAUGCAGCAACGCCGCGUGCGGGAUGACGGCCUUCGGGUUGUAAACCGCUUUCGCCUGUGGCGAAGCGUGAGUGACGGUAAUGGGUAAAGAAGCACCGGCUAACUACGUG
rnacentral:rRNA from 1 species